CGGGGUGUGGCUCAGGUGGUAGAGCGCUUGCUUCGGGAGCAAGAGGCCGGAGGUUCAAGUCCUCUCACUCCGACCA
rnacentral:tRNA from 1 species